AGCCAAAAGGAACGCACUCCAGGAGGGAAGUAUGAUCUCUUAGGAGCAAAAGAUGGAGGUCCGUGGUAUGAACACAGUGAACUCCAGUAUAGCAACAGCCUUUACUGGCCUCAUGCAGUGCUCUCAGGAACAGUGUGUGCUGUCUGGCUGCCUCCUCUGGGGACCCACCAGGCACCAAUGAGAACAGCCUGGUUUGGAGAUCCUUCCAGAAAGUUCUGUUAGCCUUGUGAUGGGCAGCAAGGACAGCACUUUAGUUUUUUUAUGAAAUGAUAGGACACCGAGUAGCGGCAAGAAGAAGGAUCAAAGAUUUGGGGUAGGAAUUUCAGCUGCAAACAUUCCCGAUCCUGUUUGCAGGAACUGCAGCCUCCAGGAGAUUCAGCCUGCUCUCCAAGCCAUCCCUGUCCCUGCCGGACUCCAACAGCAACUGUGAUCUGGAGUUUGUCCAUUAGACCAGACCAAGUGGCCAGUGAACCGCAGGGACCCGCCUGUCUCUGCUGCCUCAGUGCUGGGAUUGCAGGAGCAUGCACCACGCCCAUCUUUUCAUGGGGGUUCUGGGAACAAGCUCUGUUUCUCAAGAUG
ensembl:antisense Gm14154 predicted gene 14154